rnacentral:rRNA from 1 species
AACGUAGGUAUCGAGCGUUAUCCGGAUUUACUGGGCGUAAAGCGCGUUCAGGCGGUUUGGCAAGUCGGGCAUGAAAUCUCUCGGCUCAACCGGGAGAGGUUGUCCGAUACUGCUGGACUUGAGGGCAGUAGAGGGUGGUGGAAUUCCGGGUGUAGUGGUGAAAUGCGUAGAUAUCAGGAGGAACACCGAUGGCGAAGGCAGGUCUCUGGGCAUUAACUGACGCUGAGGAGCGAAAGCAUGGGGAGCGAACAGG